rnacentral:rRNA from 1 species
AUUGAACGCUGGCGGCAGGCUUAACACAUGCAAGUCGAGCGGAGAUGAGGUGCUUGCACCUUAUCUUAGCGGCGGACGGGUGAGUAAUGCUUAGGAAUCUGCCUAUUAGUGGGGGACAACAUUCCGAAAGGAAUGCUAAUACCGCAUACGUCCUACGGGAGAAAGCAGGGGAUCUUCGGACCUUGCGCUAAUAGAUGAGCCUAAGUCGGAUUAGCUAGCUGGUGGGGUAAAGGCCUAACAAGGCGACGAUCUGUAGCGGGUCUGAGAGGAUGAUCCGCCACACUGGGACUAAGACACGGCCCAGAAUCCUACGGGGGGCAGCAGUGGGGAAUAGUGGACAAUGGGGGGAACCCUGAUCCAGCCAUGCCGGGUGUGUGAAGAAGGCCUUGUGGUUGUAAAGCACUUUAAGCGAGGAGGAGGCUACUGAGACUAAUACUCUUGGAUAGUGGACGUUACUCGCAGAAUAAGCACCGGCCAACUCUGUGCCAGCCGCCGCCGUAACAC